rnacentral:rRNA from 1 species
UACGUAGGGGGCAAGCGUUGUCCGGAUUUAUUGGGCGUAAAGAGCGUGUAGGCGGCCUGAAAGGUCAGCUGUGAAAACUCGAGGCUCAACCUCGAGACGUCGGUUGAAACCAUCUGGCUAGAGUCCGGAAGAGGAGUGUGGAAUUCCCGGUGUAGCGGUGAAAUGCGCAGAUAUCAGGAGGAACACCGGUGGCGAAGGCGGGUCUCUGGACCGAUACUGACGCUGAGGAGCGAAAGCGUGGGGAGCGAACAGG